CCGUGGGUAACCUGCCUGUACACUGGGAUAACUCCGGGAAACCGGAGCUAAUACCGGAUAGUUCCUUGAACCGCAUGGUUCAAGGAUGAAAGACGGUUUCGGCUGUCACUUACAGAUGGACCCGCGGCGCAUUAGCUAGUUGGUGAGGUAACGGCUCACCAAGGCGACGAUGCGUAGCCGACCUGAGAGGGUGAUCGGCCACACUGGGACUGAGACACGGCCCAGACUCCUACGGGAGGCAGCAGUAGGGAAUCUUCCGCAAUGGACGAAAGUCUGACGGAGCAACGCCGCGUGAGUGAUGAAGGUUUUCGGAUCGUAAAGCUCUGUUGUUAGGGAAGAACAAGUGCAAGAGUAACUGCUUGCACCUUGACGGUACCUAACCAGAAAGCCACGGCUAACUACGUGCCAGCAGCCGCGGUAAUACGUAGGUGGCAAGCGUUGUCCGGAAUUAUUGGGCGUAAAGGGCUCGCAGGCGGUUUCUUAAGUCUGAUGUGAAAGCCCCCGGCUCAACCGGGGAAGGUC
rnacentral:rRNA from 1 species